UUCUUACAUUCACUGAGACGACAGAACAUAGCUAUAGAAGUGGAUGCCUUUGGAACUAGAAAUGGCACAGAUGACCUAUCUUACAAUGGUGCUAUCAUUGUGUCAGGUGAUGAAAAGGAUCACAGAUUUUCAAUAGCAUGUAAUACAAAACGGCUGAAUUGCUUUCCUGUCCUCCUGGAUGUCAUUAGCAAUGGGCUACUUGGAAUUUUUAAUUCGUCAGAACACAUUCAGACUGACAGAAGCACAUUUUUUGAAGAGCAUAUGGAUUAUGAGUAUGGGUACCGAAGUAACACCUUCUUCUGGAUACCGAUGGCAGCCUCUUUCACUCCAUACAUUGCAAUGAGCAGCAUCGGUGACUACAAAGUAAGAAAAGUUAAAGUCUUCACAUGUUUUUUAUUUCUAGAGAACCCUUCCCCCACCCUUAUGACUAUAAAUUUAUAUGCAAGUGGUAAAUCUAAUUUUUGUACUUGACGCAAUGAAUAAUCAAGCACUUUAAUAAUAAUUGCCAAAUAUG
rnacentral:sRNA from 1 species